rnacentral:tRNA from 1 species
GCCUCGGUGGCCCAGCCGGGUUAGGGCACCGCCUUGGUAAAGAGUCUGAAGAGGCGGUUGUCGCGGGUUCAAAUCCCGCCCGAGGCU